rnacentral:rRNA from 1 species
GACGAACGCUGGCGGCGUGCUUAACGCAUGCAAGUCGAACGGAAAGGCCCUGCUUUUGUGGGGUGCUCGAGUGGCGAACGGGUGAGUAACACGUGAGUAACCUGCCCUUGACUUUGGGAUAACUUCAGGAAACUGGGGCUAAUACCGGAUAGGAGCUCCUGCUGCAUGGUGGGGGUUGGAAAGUUUCGGCGGUUGGGGAUGGACUCGCGGCUUAUCAGCUUGUUGGUGGGGUAGUGGCUUACCAAGGCUUUGACGGGUAGCCGGCCUGAGAGGGUGACCGGCCACAUUGGGACUGAGAUACGGCCCAGACUCCUACGGGAGGCAGCAGUGGGGAAUAUUGCAAAAUGGGCGGAAGCCUGAUGCAGCAACGCCGCGUGCGGGACGACGGCCUUCGGGUUGUAAACCGCUUUCGCCUGUGACGAAGCGUGAGUGACGGUAAUGGGUAAAGAAGCACCGGCUAACUACGUG